AUUGAACGCUGGCGGAAUGCUUUACACAUGCAAGUCGAACGGCAGCACGGGGGCAACCCUGGUGGCGAGUGGCGAACGGGUGAGUAAUAUAUCGGAACGUGCCCAGUCGUGGGGGAUAACGUAGCGAAAGUUACGCUAAUACCGCAUACGAUCUACGGAUGAAAGCGGGGGAUCGCAAGACCUCGCGCGAUUGGAGCGGCCGAUAUCAGAUUAGGUAGUUGGUGAGGUAAAGGCUCACCAAGCCAACGAUCUGUAGCUGGUCUGAGAGGACGACCAGCCACACUGGGACUGAGACACGGCCCAGACUCCUACGGGAGGCAGCAGUGGGGAAUUUUGGACAAUGGGCGCAAGCCUGAUCCAGCCAUUCCGCGUGCAGGACGAAGGCCUUCGGGUUGUAAACUGCUUUUGUACGGAACGAAAAAGCCUUGGCUAACACCUAGGGUCCAUGACGGUACCGUAAGAAUAAGCACCGGCUAACUACGUGCCAGCAGCCGCGGUAAUACGUAGGGUGCGAGCGUUAAUCGGAAUUACUGGGCGUAAAGCGUGCGCAGGCGGUUAUAUAAGACAGAUGUGAAAUCCCCGGGCUCAACCUGGGAACUGCAUUUGUGACUGUAUAGCUAGAGUGCGGCAGAGGGGGAUGGAAUUCCGCGUGUAGCAGUGAAAUGCGUAGAUAUGCGGAGGAACACCGAUGGCGAAGGCAAUCCCCUGGGCCUGCAC
rnacentral:rRNA from 1 species